GACGAACGCUGGCGGCGUGCUUAACACAUGCAAGUCGAACGCUGAAGCUCAGCUUGCUGGGUGGAUGAGUGGCGAACGGGUGAGUAACACGUGAGUAACCUGCCCUCUUCUUUGGGAUAACGCCCGGAAACGGGUGCUAAUACUGGAUAUUCACUGAUUCUCGCAUGGGGGUUGGUGGUAAGGUUUUUUCUGGUGGGGGAUGGGCUCGCGGCCUAUCAGCUUGUUGGUGGGGUGAUGGCCUACCAAGGCUUUGACGGGUAGCCGGCCUGAGAGGGUGACCGGUCACAUUGGGACUGAGAUACGGCCCAGACUCCUACGGGAGGCAGCAGUGGGGAAUAUUGCACAAUGGGCGAAAGCCUGAUGCAGCGACGCCGCGUGAGGGAUGGAGGCCUUCGGGUUGUAAACCUCUUUCGCUCAUGGUCAAGCCGCAGCUUUGGGUUGUGGUGAGGGUAGUGGGUAAAGAAGCGCCGGCUAACUACGUG
rnacentral:rRNA from 1 species